GAUGAACGCUGGCGGCGUGCCUAAUACAUGCAAGUAGAACGCUGAAGGAGGAGCUUGCUCUUCUGGAUGAGUUGCGAACGGGUGAGUAACGCGUAGGUAACCUGCCUGGUAGCGGGGGAUAACUAUUGGAAACGAUAGCUAAUACCGCAUGACAACAGCUAUUGCAUGAUAACUGUUUAAAAGGGGCAACUGCUCCACUGCCAGAUGGACCUGCGUUGUAUUAGCUAGUUGGUGAGGUAACGGCUCACCAAGGCGACGAUACAUAGCCGACCUGAGAGGGGGAUCGGCCACACUGGGACUGAGACACGGCCCAGACUCCUACGGGAGGCAGCAGUAGGGAAUCUUCGGCAAUGGACGGAAGUCUGACCGAGCAACGCCGCGUGAGUGAAGAAGGUUUUCGGAUCGUAAAGCUCUGUUGUAAGAGAAGAACGAGUGUGAGAGUGGAAAGUUCACACUGUGACGGUAUCUUACCAGAAAGGGACGGCUAACUACGUG
rnacentral:rRNA from 1 species